CCUCACUAGUCUAAACGAGUUAAUACACAUUGACUCAAUAAUUUGAUCAACGGAAUAAGUUACCCUAGGGAUAACAACGCAAUCGUAUUCUAGAGUCCAUAUCGACAAUAAGGUUUACAACUUCGAUGUUGGAUCAGGACAUCCUAAUGGUGUAGCCGCUAAUAAGUGUUCGUUUGUUCAAUGAUCAAAGUCCUACAUGAUCUGAGUUCAGACGGGAGUAAUCCAGGUCGGUUUCUAUCUAUUCUAUAUUUUUCCCUUUC